CCUACGGGUGGCUGCAGUGGGGAAUAUUGCGCAAUGGGCGAAAGCCUGACGCAGCGACGCCGCGUGAGGGAUGAAGGUCUUCGGAUCGUAAACCUCUGUCAGCAGGGAAGAAAGGUCACGGUGCUAAUCAGCAGUGAAUUGACGGUACCUGCAAAGGAAGCACCGGCUAACUCCGUGCCAGCAGCCGCGGUAAUACGGAGGGGGCGAGCGUUAAUCGGAAUUACUGGGCGUAAAGCGCUCGUAGGCGGUAUGUUAAGUCAAGUGUGAAAGCCCCGGGCUCAACGGGGGAACUGCCUUUGAAACUGGCAAACUGGAGUGUGGGAGAGGAGAGUGGAAUUCCAGGUGUAGGAGUGGAAUCCGUAGAUAUAUGGAGGAACACCAGUGGCGAAGGCGACUAUCUGGCACAUAACUGACGCUGAGGAGCGAAAGCGUGGGUAGCAAACAGGAUUAGAUACCCGGGUAGUC
rnacentral:rRNA from 1 species